rnacentral:rRNA from 2 species
UCUCCGUUGGUGAACCAGCGGAGGGAUCAUUACAGAGUUUACAACUCCCAAACCCAAAUGUGAACAUACCUACUGUUGCUUCGGCGUGCUCGCCCCGGCGUCCGGCUGGCCUCGUGCUGGUCGCGGCCCGGAACCAGGUGGCCGCCGGAGAAAACCAAAACUCUUUGUAUUAUCAGCUUCUUCUGAAUCCGCCGCAAGGCAAAACAAAUGAAUCAAAACUUUCAACAACGGAUCUCUUGGUUCUGGCAUCGAUGAAGAACGCAGCGAAAUGCGAUAAGUAAUGUGAAUUGCAGAAUUCAGUGAAUCAUCGAAUCUUUGAACGCACAUUGCGCCCGGGAGCAUUCUCCCGGGCAUGCCUGUUCGAGCGUCAUUUCAACCCUCGAUUUCCCUUUGGGGAAGUCGGCCGUUGGAGAUCGGCAGCACUGCCGGCUCCCAAAUACAGUGGCGACCCGCCGCGGGGACCCCUGCGUAGUAACUUACACUCGCACCGGAAACCAGACGUGUCACGCCGUAAAACCCCCAACUUUCUGAACGUUGACCUCGGAUCAGGUAGGAAUACCCGCUGAACUUAA